rnacentral:rRNA from 1 species
GACAGAGGGGGCAAGCGUUGCUCGGAAUUACUGGGCGUAAAGGGCGCGUAGGCGGCGCAACAAGUCACUUGUGAAAUCUCCGGGCUUAACCCGGAGCGGCCAAGUGAUACUGUCGUGCUAGAGUGCGGAAGGGGCUACUGGAAUUCUCGGUGUAGCGGUGAAAUGCGUAGAUAUCGAGAGGAACACCUGCGGCGAAGGCGGGUAGCUGGGCCGACACUGACACUGAUGAGCGAAAGCCAGGGGAGCAAACGGG